UACAGAGGGGGCAAGCGUUGUUCGGAAUUACUGGGCGUAAAGGGCUCGUAGGCGGCCAACUAAGUCAGACGUGAAAUCCCUCAGCUUAACUGGGGACUGCGUCUGAUACUGGAUGGCUUGGAUUUGGGAGAGGAAUGCGGAAUUCCAGGUGUAGCGGUGAAAUGCGUAGAUAUCUGGAGGAACACCGGUGGCGAAGGCGGCAUUCUGGACCAAUAUUGACGCUGAGGCACGAAAGCGUGGGGAUCAAACAGG
rnacentral:rRNA from 1 species